GUCUAUAUCAUGCUAAACUUAAAAAAAAGAUUUUGAAAAGAAUAACUUGAAAGAAAACUUAAACAGAAAAAAAUGAAGAGUCUUUUUUAAAGCAAAAAUUUGAGAGACCUCGAGAAGGAGUUGAAGAACUCAUAGCAAGUAUGGAUCUAAAGUGAAACUGAGAGAAGUCAAAGAACUCUUAGAGAUUAGUGUUUGAGAAGAACCCCACUUGACGAGAAAGGCCUUGAAACCCAUCAAUAUAAACAGGAGAGUCAAAUAUCUGACUCGAAUGGCCAUGGCUGGCAGGAGAAAGCUCAAAGACGACCGGAGAACAAUCAUAGAACAAAAGACUGGACCAAGCCCCUUCAGAAUCUGGUCAUAAGACCACCGUAGAAAGCACAUAGAAGCGUUUGAGGCUGAUAGAGGUCUCAGAUGACCAUGGAAAGCCAUAGAUUAGGGUAGAUUAGGGUGGCAGUGGCUAUGAUUUGAUGUUGUUGUUGAGAGGAUUUGAGAGAGGAGGGGAACUCAGAGGAAGCAU
rnacentral:lncRNA from 1 species